rnacentral:rRNA from 1 species
AACGAACGCUGGCGGCAUGCCUAACACAUGCAAGUCGAACGAUCCCUUCGGGGAUAGUGGCGCACGGGUGCGUAACGCGUGUGAACCUGCCCUUAGGUUCGGAAUAACUCAGAGAAAUUUGAGCUAAUACCGGAUAAUGUCUUCGGACCAAAGAUUUAUCGCCUUUGGAUGGGCCCGCGUUGGAUUAGCUAGUUGGUGGGGUAAAGGCCUACCAAGGCGACGAUCCAUAGCUGGUCUGAGAGGAUGAUCAGCCACACUGGGACUGAGACACGGCCCAGACUCCUACGGGAGGCAGCAGUGGAGAAUAUUGGACAAUGGGCGAAAGCCUGAUCCAGCAAUGCCGCGUGAGUGAUGAAGGCCUUAGGGUUGUAAAGCUCUUUUACCCGGGAUGAUAAUGACAGUACCGGGAGAAUAAGCCCCGGCUAACUCCGUG